rnacentral:rRNA from 1 species
GACGAACGCUGGCGGCGUGCCUAAUACAUGCAAGUAGAACGCUGAAGGAGGAGCUUGCUUCUCUGGAUGAGUUGCGAACGGGUGAGUAACGCGUAGGUAACCUGCCUGGUAGCGGGGGAUAACUAUUGGAAACGAUAGCUAAUACCGCAUAAUAGCAGUUGUUGCAUGACAACUGUUUGAAAGGUGCAAUUGCACCACUACCAGAUGGACCUGCGUUGUAUUAGCUAGUUGGUGGGGUAACGGCUCACCAAGGCGACGAUACAUAGCCGACCUGAGAGGGUGAUCGGCCACACUGGGACUGAGACACGGCCCAGACUCCUACGGGAGGCAGCAGUAGGGAAUCUUCGGCAUUGGACGGAAGUCUGACCGAGCAACGCCGCGUGAGUGAAGAAGGUUCUCGGAUCGUAAAGCUCUGUUGUAAGAGAAGAACGAGUGUGAGAGUGGAAAGUUCACACUGUGACGGUAUCUUACCAGAAAGGGACGGCUAACUACGUG